UCGGUUGUAGCAGGUUCUUGAGAACCAACGAUGGAUAAAGCUCUGCAUAUGUCAUAGGGAUUGGGUCGAAAGAGACUUUCUUCCUCUCAAAAGUUUGUUACUGAUGAUUGUUGGUAUUGUUGUUGUUGUUGUAGGUGCUUGUUCGUUGUUGUGGUUGUUGUUGUUGUUGACGCUAUUGUUAUUGAAUGGGUGUUGAUUGAUUUGUUGAGAAAACGGGAAUCACUGAAGAUACUUGAUGAUGGUGUUAAUGGGAUGGUUGACUUCUU
rnacentral:lncRNA from 1 species